rnacentral:rRNA from 1 species
CAUGCAAGUCGAACGAUGAUCCGGUGCUUGCACCGGGGAUUAGUGGCGAACGGGUGAGUAACACGUGAGUAACCUGCCCUUAACUCUGGGAUAAGCCUGGGAAACUGGGUCUAAUACCGGAUAUGACUGAUCAUCGCAUGGUGGUUGGUGGAAAGCUUUUUUGUGGUUUUGGAUGGACUCGCGGCCUAUCAGCUUGUUGGUGAGGUAAUGGCUUACCAAGGCGACGACGGGUAGCCGGCCUGAGAGGGUGACCGGCCACACUGGGACUGAGACACGGCCCAGACUCCUACGGGAGGCAGCAGUGGGGAAUAUUGCACAAUGGGCGCAAGCCUGAUGCAGCGACGCCGCGUGAGGGAUGACGGCCUUCGGGUUGUAAACCUCUUUCAGUAGGGAAGAAGCGAAAGUGACGGUACCUGCAGAAGAAGCGCCGGCUAACUACGUGCCAGCAGCCGCGGUAAUACGUAGGGCGCAAGCGUUAUCCGGAAUUAUUGGGCGUAAAGAGCUCGUAGGCGGUUUGUCGCGUCUGCCGUGAAAGUCCGGGGCUCAACUCCGGAUCUGCGGUGGGUACGGGCAGACUAGAGUGAUGUAGGGGAGACUGGAAUUCCUGGUGUAGCGGUGAAAUGCGCAGAUAUCAGGAGGAACACCGAUGGCGAAGGCAGGUCUCUGGGCAUUAACUGACGCUGAGGAGCGAAAGCAUGGGGAGCGAACAGGAUUAGAUACCCUGGUAGUCCAUGCCGUAAACGUUGGGCACUAGGUGUGGGGGACAUUCCACGUUUUCCGCGCCGUAGCUAACGCAUUAAGUGCCCCGCCUGGGGAGUACGGCCGCAAGGCUAAAACUCAAAGGAAUUGACGGGGGCCCGCACAAGCGGCGGAGCAUGCGGAUUAAUUCGAUGCAACGCGAAGAACCUUACCAAGGCUUGACAUGAACCGGAAAGACCUGGAAACAGGUGCCCCGCUUGCGGUCGGUUUACAGGUGGUGCAUGGUUGUCGUCAGCUCGUGUCGUGAGAUGUUGGGUUAAGUCCCGCAACGAGCGCAACCCUCGUUCUAUGUUGCCAGCACGUGAUGGUGGG